GGUCCUACUCAAACCCUGUUACUAAGGGUGGGGUGGGAGCAACCGCGAGGUGCGCCACCCACUAACCUGCAAACAAGACCGGCUCUGAGAGCUGAAGUAGAAAGACCUACGCACACCUGUUUAAACACCUGUCGGAGUGAACCAAGAGACUGUGUAAUUCAAAUGUUUGAGAACUCAAAUUAUAAUCGGAACGACUACAAAUUCAAAGACAGAUAUGGAAGGCAACGUUUUCUAUUCAGUGGAAUAAAUUGUAUUUUGCUUAAUCUGAAAAAUAUGUGUGAAAGGUAGAGCGUAUAGGUGCGAGCAUCUAAAGGGGUGUGGGGUCAGUGUUGAACAGAGUUAAAAAAUAAGAUACUGCAGCCAGGCUCGGUGGCUCAUACCUGUAAUCCCAGCACCGGGAUUGGGAGGUGGGAGGAUGGCUUGAGCCCAGGAGUUCCAGGCCAGCCUGGGCAA
rnacentral:lncRNA from 10 species